GACGAACGCUGGCGGCGUGCUUAACACAUGCAAGUCGAGCGGAAAGGCCCUUCGGGGUACUCGAGCGGCGAACGGGUGAGUAACACGUGAGUAAUCUGCCCUUCACUCUGGGAUAGCCACCGGAAACGGUGAUUAAUACCGGAUACGACCACCGUGGGCAUCCGCUGGUGGUGGAAACUUUUUUGGGUGGGGGAUGUGCUCGCGGCCUAUCAGCUUGUUGGUGGGGUAAUGGCCUACCAAGGCUUCGACGGGUAGCCGGCCUGAGAGGGUGACCGGCCACACUGGACUGAGACACGGCCCAGACUCCUACGGGAGGCAGCAGUGGGGAAUAUUGGACAAUGGGCGGAAGCCUGAUCCAGCAACGCCGCGUGAGGGAUGACGGCCUUCGGGUUGUAAACCUCUUUCAGCACCGACGAAGCGCAAGUGACGGUAGGUGCAGAAGAAGGACCGGCCAACUACGUGCCAGCAGCCGCCGCCGUAA
rnacentral:rRNA from 1 species